CCUACGGGAGGCAGCAGUCGAGAAUUAUUCACAAUGGGGGAAACCCUGAUGGUGCGACGCCGCGUGGGGGAAUGAAGGUCUUCGGAUUGUAAACUCCUGUCAUGUGGGAGCAAAUUAAAAAGAUAGUACCACAAGAGGAAGAGACGGCUAACUCUGUGCCAGCAGCCGCGGUAAUACAGAGGUCUUAAGCGUGGUUCGGAAUGACUGGGCGUAGAGGGUGCGGAGGAGGGUUCGUAAGUCGUGUGUGAAAGGCGCGGGCUCAACCCGCGGACGGCACAUGAUACUGCGAGACUAGAGUAAUGGAGGGGGAACCGGAAUGCUCGGUGUAGCAGUGAAAUGCGUAGAUAUCGAGAGGAACACUCGUGGCGAAGGCGGGUUCCUGGACAUUAACUGACGCUGAGGCACGAAGGCCAGGGGAGCGAAAGGGAUUAGAUACCCCUGUAGUC
rnacentral:rRNA from 1 species